rnacentral:tRNA from 1 species
AGGGAUAUCGCCAAGUGGCAAGGCACCGCACUCUGACUGCGGCAUUCGUAGGUUCGAAUCCUACUAUCCCUGCCA